rnacentral:rRNA from 1 species
CAGUGAGCACUGCUCGCUAGUCUCUUCGGAGGCGACACGCUCAAUGUGCGGAAAGGCCCUCUUGGAGGGAAAUCCGCAGCUCCUACCCGGGAGUUCAGAGACUCAAUGAACGUGGGCGCUGGCAACAGCGCUUGAGAUAGAGCCCAGCGCUGCCGGCAACGGUGGCGAGCAACUGGAACCUGCGGAAGGAUCAUUA